UGGAACUGACCGUCCCUAUGGUAACAAAACUCGUUAGCCAGAGCACUUCCUUCAAGACAGCAGAGGUAUGGGAAAGAGAAUGGAGGAGGCAGAGGAAAAAUGCCCAGCAAGUGGUCUUGGGAAAAGUAAUAGGGUCAGAAAUAUUGAAGGAGAGAAUGGCUUCAGAAACAGAGAAAGGCAGAGACAAGACAGAUAAUAGCAUGCUGAAGAGGAUCCUGGAAGUAAAGGGAACAAGGAAAGAAUGUAUCUGAAAAAGAACACAAAGGCAAGGUGUCUUCAGAGAGAACAAGGAACAGAGAGUAGAGCAGGAGGAAGGAGAAGAGCGAAAGAGGAGCAGAAAGGGGUUGAGUUCACAUUUAGAAUUGGAAUUUAGACUGCUCCUGCACAUGGAGAAUAAACAGUUCAUGCCUUCCCAUUUGGUCCUUCUUCCCCAAAGGGCUAUGAUGAUUCUGACAGUGAUGACGACGAGGACGACGAUGAUGAUGAUGAUGAUGGUGAUGA